rnacentral:rRNA from 1 species
AAGGAAUAUUGGGCAAUGGACGCAAGUCUGACCCAGCCAUGCCGCGUGGAGGAUGAAGGUCCUCUGGAUUGUAAACUUCUUUUAUCAGAGAAGAAACCCGGGAAUUCUUUCCCGGUGGACGGUACCUGAUGAAUAAGCACCGGCUAACUCCGUGCCAGCAGCCGCGGUAAUACGGAGGGGGCGAGCGUUAUCCGGAUUCACUGGGUUUAAAGGGUGCGUAGGUGGGUUGCCAAGUCCGUGGUGAAAUCUCUGAGCUUAACUCAGAAACUGCCGUGGAUACUGGUGAUCUUGAAUAUCGUUAAGGUAAGCUGAAUUUGUCACGUAGCGGUGAAAUGCUUAGAUAUGACAUAGAACACCGAUAGCGGAGGCAGCUUACUAAGCGAUCAUUGACGCUGAGGCACGAAAGCGUGGGG